UACAGAGGUGGCAAGCGUUGUUCGGAAUUACUGGGCGUAAAGGGCGCGUAGGCGGCCUUCUAAGUCAGACGUGAAAUCCCCCGGCUUAACCUGGGAACUGCGUCUGAUACUGGGAGGCUUGAGUAUGGGAGGGGGAUGUAGAAUUCCAGGUGUAGCGGUGAAAUGCGUAGAUAUCUGGAGGAAUACCGGUGGCGAAGGCGGCAUCCUGGACCAUAACUGACGCUGAUGCGCGAAAGCUAGGGGAGCAAACGGG
rnacentral:rRNA from 1 species